GCAACAAUUAUUGACCAUGUCAUCAAUCAUGGCUUGUCCUUUAGAGAGGCUGGACAAAGGGUCCUGCCCAUUCUGACUCGGAGCACUGUGGCAUCUAUUGUCAGGCUUUUUCGGAAUGAGAACAGGAUCCACACAUUACCACACACUGGUGGCAGAGGAAAGAUAUUUAGUAUUGAACAGGAGUCUGCCAUUGUAGAUAUGGUAGUGGCAAACAAUGCAAUCAGACUGCGUGAAAUCCAGGCAGCAGUAAUUGCAGAUCAGGGAGCAUUUAGAAAUAUAAACAGUGAGUUUGGCAACUAUAGAUCGAGUCCUUAAACGCCACCAUGUCAGAAUGAAGCAGCUGUACCGAGUUCCAUUUCAAAGAAACUCUGACAUCGUAAAGGAGGCACGAUUCCAGUAUGUGCAGAGAAUAAUGGAGCUUGAAGCUGAGGGGGCACAUCACAAAUUCAUUUUUGUGGAUGAAGCCGGCUUCAACCUCUGUAAAGUGAGGAGACGCGGGAGGAACAUCAUAGGGCAGAGGGCCACUGUCACAGUGCCAGGUCAGAGGGGUGCCAAUAUCACCAUGUGUGCUGCCAUCUCCAAUGAUGGGGUCCUUUGCCACAUACCAACCAUUGGCCCAUACAAUACAGAACGCUCAUCACAUUUCUUGAUUCAUUGAAAGAAAUACUGAUUCCACCCGAAGAGAGAGGGCUGUUGAGGCCUGGCAUGACUCUGUAUGUCAUAAUUUGGGACAAUGUGGCUUUCCAUCACUCUCGCCUUGUGAACGAAUGGUUUGCAGCACAGCCUCGUAUUAUGAUGCACUUCCUUCCUGCAUACUCCCCUUUUCUGAACCCAAUCGAGGAGUUCUUCUCUGCUUGGAGGUGGAAGGUGUAUGAUCACCGGCGAUAUGAGCAGAUGCCCCUCCUGGAGGCAAUGAAUGCUGGUUGCCUGGCAAUAGGUGCAGAGGACUGCCAGGGAUGGAUGCGCCACGCAAGGAGGUAUUUCCCUCGGUGCAUUGCAAGGGAAAACAUUCAAUGCGAUGUUGAUGAGAACCUGUGGCAUAAUCGUCAAGAACGAAUGGACUAAAUGUGAAAGA